rnacentral:rRNA from 1 species
UACAGAGGGUGCAAACGUUGCUCGGAAUCAUUGGGCGUAAAGCGCACGUAGGCGGCCCAGCAAGCGGGGAGUGAAAGCCCUCGGCUUAACCGAGGAAGUGCUUUCCGAACUACUGGGCUUGAAUACUGGAGAGGGUCGCGGAAUUCCCGGUGUAGAGGUGAAAUUCGUAGAUAUCGGGAAGAACACCAGUGGCGAAGGCGACUACCUGGCCUGUUCUUGACGCUGAGGCGCGAAAGCUAGGGGAGCAAACGGG